GACGAACGCUGGCGGCGGGCUUAACACAUGCAAGUCGAACGGUGAAGCCCUUCGGGGUGGAUCAGUGGCGAAAGGGGGAGUAACACGUGAGCAACCUGCCCCUUGCUCUGGGACAACCACUGGAAACGGUGGCUAAUACCGGAUACGACCCGCCUCGUCAUCGAGUGGGGGUGGAAAGUUCUUCGGCUGGGGAUGGGCUCGCGGCCUAUCAGCUUGUUGGUGAGGUGAAGGCUCACCAAGGCGACGACGGGUAGCCGGCCUGAGAGGGCGACCGGCCACACUGGGACUGAGACACGGCCCAGACUCCUACGGGAGGCAGCAGUGGGGAAUAUUGCACAAUGGGCGAAAGCCUGAUGCAGCGACGCCGCGUGAGGGAUGACGGCCUUCGGGUUGUAAACCUCUUUCAGCUCCGAAGAAGCGAAAGUGACGGUAGGAGCAGAAGAAGCACCGGCUAACUACGUG
rnacentral:rRNA from 1 species